AAAGUCCCUAUUAUGAGACGAUGUCCCCAUUUAUGAUACACUACAUAAAAAUACUAUUUUAUAAAAACAAACACACCGCUAGCAUACCAAAAAUAUAAAAAAUAUUUCAAUUCACAUAUUUCAAAAGCAAUUUUCGACUUUUGCUCUUAAUUAAUUUCACACUGUUUUUAAAAAAUAUUUAUUAAAGUGCGAGGUUUGUUAUCUGUGCUCAAAGCCACGACCGAGAAUAGUAAAACGGCAACGGCUACCUAGUUUCUUAUAUUAGUUUAAUUUCAUUGUCUCUUCUUCUUUUAUGUUAAAUUGUAUAUCAAUUGAAAGCUGAUGAGUCAUAGACUUUAUUUCUAUACAUAUUUAUGCGUUUUUUUUAUUACAAUAUUUUAAAUCUGAGUGUCUCACAAUACCUACACUUAUAAACGUGAAUGCCCCGGUUUAUGAGACAUUUUACUAGGUAUACCAUGUAACACGGACAUGUGUAUUUCGGCUUGUCCCGAUUAAUUGAGACGGUGUACAUUUAUAAGAUUUUAUAUUGUUAAUAUGUUAUAUUAAUUAUAAAAAUAGUGCAAUUAUAUGUCAUAAAAUAUUGGCUGUUAUUAAAACCUCAAAUAUUUUUCUAAAAGCUAAGUAAAAAGUAAUUUAUAAUAAAAAGCUGAGAUAAUGAGGCAUAAACAAAAUCCUAAAGAGACAAAAACUCAAUCAUCAAAUUCAACCAAUAAGUGUUGUGUUCCAAUGUGAAUAAUAAACUGAAGAAAAAAAAGUUAAAAGGCUUAAGUAAUUAUGAUUCGUCAAAUAUAGAAAAAGCUUUAAAAGCAAUAGAAGACACAGAGAUGUCCUUGAGAAAAGCAGCUGCUGUUCAUGGAGUACCGAUUGCUACCUUUGUUAGAUGAAAAAGUAUUAGUCCUGAGAAGGCAAAAAUUAGAACUGAGCCAGCGACAGUAUUAUCUUUAAAAGAAGAGAAUGUUAUUGUUCAGUUGUUAUUCUACAGAGCAGCAAUAGGGUCACCUGUGACGAAAACUGACUUAUUAAAGAUGACAAUCAUUCUAAUGUGAUAAACUGUGAAUAAAAUAAUUUAACUAAUGAUGGACAACUUUUUACGGUUAUAUAUGAAUCUAGUCAAAGCUCAAAAAUAUUCAUCCUACAAAUCCUAUAAACAACAAAAUUUAUCAAUUAGAAUUUAUGAAAGAAAAUUUGGAUCCUACGCCUGCAAUGAUUGACGAACAUCGUUUUAUUCAUAAGUUUUCAUCAAUAACUGUUGAUAACGAUAAAUCUCCCGAAAAACCUCUGAAAGAAAUAUUCACUUUGCCGUUGGAUUAUUUACUGAAGAAAAAAAUAAUAAAAAUUGAAAAAACAGGCAAGUCAAAGUUACCAUCUGUGGGGAUCUCUGAUGAAUGGUACAAACAAUUAAAAAAAGAAAAGUUGAAAAACAUGAAA